rnacentral:rRNA from 1 species
CCUACGGGAGGCAGCAGUGGGGAAUAUUGGACAAUGGGCGGAAGCCUGAUCCAGCAACGCCGCGUGAGGGAUGACGGCCUUCGGGUUGUAAACCUCUUUCAGUACCGACGAAGCGCAAGUGACGGUAGGUACAGAAGAAGCACCGGCCAACUACGUGCCAGCAGCCGCGGUAAUACGUAGGGUGCGAGCGUUGUCCGGAAUUAUUGGGCGUAAAGGGCUCGUAGGCGGUUUGUCGCGUCGGGAGUGAAAACGCCGUGCUUAACACGGCGCUUGCUUUCGAUACGGGCAGACUAGAGGUAUGCAGGGGAGAACGGAAUUCCUGGUGUAGCGGUGAAAUGCGCAGAUAUCAGGAGGAACACCGGUGGCGAAGGCGGUUCUCUGGGCAUUACCUGACGCUGAGGAGCGAAAGUGUGGGGAGCGAACAGGAUUAGAUACCCUGGUAGUCCACACCGUAAACGUUGGGCGCUAGGUGUGGGAUCCAUUCCACGGGUUCCGUGCCGCAGCUAACGCAUUAAGCGCCCCGCCUGGGGAUACGGCCGCAAGGCUAAAACUCAAAGGAAUUGACGG